rnacentral:rRNA from 1 species
GACGAACGCUGGCGGCGCGCUUAAUACAUGCAAGUCGAGCGAGAACCAGGGCUUCGGCUCUGGGGACAGCGGCGAACGGGUGAGUAGCACGUGGGUAAUCAACCCCCGACACCGGGAUAGCCCAGGGAAACUUGGAUUAAUACCGGAUGCCCCGUCUGGCCUUCGGGCCGGCCGGAAAAGGGUAGCUUCGGCCUCUGGUCGGGGACGAGCCCGCGGCGGAUUAGCUUGUUGGUGAGGUAAAGGCUCACCAAGGCGACGAUCCGUAGCUGGUCGGAGAGGACGAUCAGCCACACUGGGACUGAGACACGGCCCAGACUCCUACGGGAGGCAGCAGUAGGGAAUCUUGCGCAAUGGGCGAAAGCCUGACGCAGCGACGCCGCGUGAGGGAAGAAGGCCUUCGGGUUGUAAACCUCUUUCAGGAGGGACGAAGCCACUCGGGUUAAUAGCCUAGAGGGUGACGGUACCUCCAGAAGAAGCCCCGGCUAACUACGUGCCAGCCGCCGCCGUAA